CAGCAGCCGCGGUAAUACGGAGGAUCCAGGCGUUAUCCGGAAUCAUUGGGUUUAAAGGGUCCGUAGGCGGUUUAGUAAGUCAGUGGUGAAAGCCCAUCGCUCAACGGUGGAACGGCCAUUGAUACUGCUAAACUUGAAUUAUUAGGAAGUAACUAGAAUAUGUAGUGUAGCGGUGAAAUGCUUAGAGAUUACAUGGAAUACCAAUUGCGAAGGCAGGUUACUACUAAUGGAUUGACGCUGAUGGACGAAAGCGUGGGUAGCGAACAGGAUUAGAUACCCUGGUAGUCUACGCCGUAAUCGAUGGAUACUAGCUGUUGGGAGCAAUUUCAGUGGCUAAGCGAAAGUGAUAAGUAUCCCACCUAGGGAGUACGUUCGCAGGAAUGAAACUCAAAGGAAUUGACGG
rnacentral:rRNA from 1 species